rnacentral:rRNA from 1 species
AAUCUCAGUUCAGACUGCAGGCUGCGACUCGCCUGCACGAAGUCGGAAUUGCUAGUAAUCGCGGAUCAGCAUGCCGCGGUGAAUACGUUCCCGGGCCUUGUACACACCGCCCGUCACACCAUGGGAGCCGGUAAUACCCGAAGUCAGUAGUCCAACCUCGUGAGGACGCUGCCGAAGGUAGGAUUGGCGACUGGGGUGAAGUCGUAACAAGGUACC